rnacentral:lncRNA from 1 species
UUCAUCUCUAUAGUUCCGCUUCUUGCUCUAAAAAUGCAAGAAAGACUUGUCGGAAAAGAUAACUAACCGGGUGCCGGCAGCAGCGCUAGCUGAAAGAAUGGGGCGCCCAUAAAACCAAAGACUAAGGCAUAUAAUAAUAGCACAAGAGUUAACUUUCUUGCGUCGUAAGAAGUUAUGCUCGCGGGAUCGGGGGUAGGUACAACCACUUCCAGUGCAGCCUGGUUAACUAAGUUUAUAAUCGGAAUUCCCCCGAUUGUGCCAUCAGUUGAAGGCACAUCCAUACCAUGCUUUAGUGCGUUCAAAAGCCCCAGUGCCUUCGUCAUGAUCGGCACCCAAUUUUGGUCU